GCUGGUGUGUGUUUGGCGAGAGUCUGAAAUGGCCCCGUGAUGUGGGGAGAACUACUGGAAGUUCCAUCCACCUCGCGGACUCGAUGACCCGGCCAUCCCACAUCCUGUUUGUCCAAGAUAGGGGGGAACUUGUGUUCAACGAGACUUUAUUUUAGGAAAGAAGGACAAGGAAGGAGAUGGACCAGCAGGAGAGCCGGCAGAGGAACUGCUCCCCUGGACCCCUUGGCCGCGAAGAGGCACAGCUUCUACCUCAUGGAGAAUCGAUGCAAAGUGGACUUACGGGGACGUAAGACCGUGGGCCUCGACGCAAAGGACAAAGUUAGUGUCUUUAAUCUGCAUUCGGGGAAUUCUCCAUCCCGCACCGGCUGAGUCCAGAGAAACUGGAAAACGGAAAAAGGUAAGAAGUGUCUGUUGGACCUGAAAUUCUCCGUACGCCCCACCUGAUAGGCUGGGUUCCUAGAAGCUCAGUUCAAAGAGAGGGCUCUUGCUGGGAGGUUCAGCGUUGGGCUUUGAGUAGCAGAGGACACCCGGGGAGCCGCGGAGAGACAGGUUUGUGAAACCUACUGUCACGCUGCUUGGCCUGCCAAAGUGGCUUGGGUAUCCAGCAGCGUGGUUGUUGGUGUGUGGGCGUGUUCGUGAAGGGGGUGGAGGGCAGCCAGACCCUCCCGUUCCCCAUGUGUCCUGGCGGAGCAUCCUCAGGGGCCAGUGGCUGGAGCCUUCGCCACCCAGGGGCCGUUCUCAAUGACUUGUUGAAACUCGGUGAGCCCACGUGAGAGGUGUGCCUUGGCGUGAUGGCGCAGUGGGAUGCUGUUGCCUUGGUAACCCCGGUGACGUGUGGUCCUCUGAGCCGGCCUAGGGCAGAUAGGUGAAGCCCUGAAGACCCUAAACAUGGUGGGAUUCAGAGGAUUUAAUGUGCGAAGUGCGCACGAUCCUGUGAAUAAGAGGGAGUGGCUUUUAGUAACCAGCAGGGCCGGGAUUCAGCAAAAUUGAUUACCUCUGGAGUUUCCUGGUGGCUCAGUGGUUAAGGAUCUAGCAUUGUCACUACGGCGGCAUGGGUUUGAUCCCUGACCUGGGAACUUCCAUGUGCCAGAGGUGCAGCCAAUAAAAUUAAAUUAAAUUAAAAAAUUGAUUAUCCC
rnacentral:lncRNA from 1 species